CCUACGGGUGGCAGCAGUGAGGAAUAUUGGUCAAUGGGCGGAAGCCUGAACCAGCCAAGUAGCGUGCGGGAUGAAGGCCCUACGGGUCGUAAACCCUUUUUGCACGGGGAUAACACCCUCCACUUGUGGAGGUCUGCAGGUACCGUGCGAAUAAGGGCCGGCUAAUUCCGUGCCAGCAGCCGCGGUAAUACGGAAGGCCCGGACGUUAUCCGGCUUCAUUGGGCUUAAAGGGAUCGUAGGCGGGCGUUCAAGUCAGCUGUAAAAUCGCGAGGCUCAACCGGACACCGCAGGUGAAACCGGAAGGCUUGAGUACACAACAGGCAGGCGGAAUUCGAGGUGUAGCGGUGAAAUGCAUAGAGAUCACGAGGAACCCCGAUUGCGAAGGCAGCCUGCCGGAGUGCGACUGACGCUGAGGCUCGAAGGUGCGGGUAUCAAACAGGAUUAGAUACCCUGGUAGUC
rnacentral:rRNA from 1 species